rnacentral:rRNA from 1 species
GAUCUUGGUCAGGACGAACGCUGGCGGCGUGCCUAACACAUGCAAGUCGAGCGGAGAUUUCGGGGGAGCUUGCUCCACCGGGAUUCAGCGGCGGACGGGUGAGUAACGCGUGAGCAACCUGCCUUCAACAGGGGGAUAACGCAUCGAAAGAUGUGCUAAUACCGCAUGAGACCACAACAUCACAUGGUGAAGGGGUCAAAGGAGCAAUCCGGUUGAAGAUGGGCUCGCGUCCGAUUAGCUGGUUGGUGAGACAACAGCCCACCAAGGCGACGAUCGGUAGCCGACCUGAGGAGGGUGAGUCGGCCACAUUGGAACUGAGAUACCGGUCCAGACUCCGUACGGGAGGCAGCAGGUAGGGGAAUUAGUUGGGCAAGUGGGACGAAAGCCCUCGACCCAGCAACGCCGCGUGGAGGGAAGAGGGGUUUCGGCUCGUAAACCUCUGUCCUGUGGGACGAAGGAAGUGACGGUACCACAGGAGGAAGCCCCGGCUAACUACGUGCCAGCAGCCGC